rnacentral:rRNA from 1 species
UACGUAGGGCGCAAGCGUUAUCCGGAAUUAUUGGGCGUAAAGAGCUCGUAGGCGGUUUGUCGCGUCUGCCGUGAAAGUCCGGGGCUCAACUCCGGAUCUGCGGCGGGUACGGGCAGACUAGAGUGAUGUAGGGGAGACUGGAAUUCCUGGUGUAGCGGUGAAAUGCGCAGAUAUCAGGAGGAACACCGAUGGCGAAGGCAGGUCUCUGGGCAUUAACUGACGCUGAGGAGCGAAAGCAUGGGGAGCGAACAGG